AAGACACACAGAAAGGAUGUGAGUGAUCAUCAGCUGGAUUGUGCCUUGGACCUAAUGAGGUGCCUGCCUCCACAGCAAAUUGAGAAGAACCUCAGCGACCUGAUCGACUUGGUCCCGGGUCUGUGUGAAGAUCUCCUGUCUUCUGUUGACCAGCCCCUGAAAAUUGCCAGAGACAAGGUGGUGGGAAAGGAUUACUUUUUGUGUGACUACAACAGAGAUGGAGACUCCUACAGGUCACCAUGGAGUAAUAAGUAUGACCCUCCUUUGGAAGAUGGGGCCAUGCCAUCUGCUCGACUGAGAAAGCUGGAGGUAGAAGCCAACAAUGCCUUUGACCAGUACCGAGACCUGUAUUUUGAAGGUGGCGUCUCAUCUGUCUACCUCUGGGAUCUGGAUCAUGGCUUUGCUGGAGUCAUCCUCAUAAAGAAGGCUGGAGAUGGAUCCAAGAAGAUCAAAGGCUGCUGGGAUUCCAUCCAUGUGGUGGAGGUGCAGGAGAAGUCCAGUGGUCGUACCACUCAUUACAAGUUGACUUCCACGGUGAUGCUGUGGCUGCAGACCAACAAAUCCGGCUCUGGCACCAUGAACCUCGGAGGCAGCCUUACCAGAUAGAUGGAGAAAGAUGAAACCGUGAGCGACUGCUCCCCACACAUAGCCAAUAUUGGGCGCCUGGUAGAGGAUAUGGAAAAUAAAAUCAGAAGUACGCUGAAUGAGAUCCACUUUGGAAAAACAAAGGACAUCGUCAAUGGGCUGAGGUCUGUGCAGACUUUUGCAGACAAAUCAAAACAAGAAGCUCUGAAGAAUGACCUGGUGGAGGCUUUGAAGAGAAAGCAGCAGUGUUAAACCUCUCUUCAUGCUAACCGGACACGCCAUGCACUCAUUAGAUUCCUUUCUUAGAAAACUCGUUUUCUGCUCCCUCUCCCUUGUCCCUUCCCUCCCCAACAGGUCACAUAACAACUUGCAUCAUCGAGACCGCACAGUGCCAUCUCCCCCUGAGAAUAAAGCCCAAAUAAACACCCUUCUCCAGCUCCAAAAAAAAAAAAAAAAGAAAAAGAAAAAUUCCACUAGAUUGGCUUGAAGAAUUAUAGCCCAAAAUUCAAAGAGGGACACUGUGUUGAGUUAGUGCCAUCUGCUGACCA